AUGCUUCGGUCUCGUAGUGACCUGCGGAGGGAUCAUUACAAGUGACCCCGGUCUAACCACCGGGAUGUUCAUAACCCUUUGUUGUCCGACUCUGUUGCCUCCGGGGCGACCCUGCCUUCGGGCGGGGGCUCCGGGUGGACACUUCAAACUCUUGCGUAACUUUGCAGUCUGAGUAAACUUAAUUAAUAAAUUAAAACUUUUAACAACGGAUCUCUUGGUUCUGGCAUCGAUGAAGAACGCAGCGAAAUGCGAUAAGUAAUGUGAAUUGCAGAAUUCAGUGAAUCAUCGAAUCUUUGAACGCACAUUGCGCCCCCUGGUAUUCCGGGGGGCAUGCCUGUUCGAGCGUCAUUUCACCACUCAAGCCUCGCUUGGUAUUGGGCAACGCGGUCCGCCGCGUGCCUCAAAUCGACCGGCUGGGUCUUCUGUCCCCUAAGCGUUGUGGAAACUAUUCGCUAAAGGGUGUUCGGGAGGCUACGCCGUAAAACAACCCCAUUUCUAAGGUUGACCUCGGAUCAGGUAGGGAUACCCGCUGAACUUAAGCAUAUCAAUAAGCGGAGGAA
rnacentral:rRNA from 1 species